CCUAGAAAUAAAAAGGCAACUUCUGUAUCUCACAUUCAUGGAAGCAAAAGAAGAAACUCUAAAUUAAAACAAUCUUGUACUAAAGCACAAGUGGGUAGCAUUUACCUUGAAGGCUUUGAUACGCUGCGGUAGUGGAAGGAUGAUUCUCUAAAGGGAAGUAAAAAAGAUAACUGCUCUCAUCAUCUUCUCAAUUACAAUCUCUGUGAGCAAUACAAAAUCUAACAUCUGCUGUUUUCUAGUAACAUGUCUAGAAUAUUUGACAAGUCUUGUUUGCUCUAUACAUAACACAUCUGUAUCAUGUCCAACAGGCAAUGGCAAAUUAUCCCACUCGUUCUCAGAUGUUUCAACCUUACCAAAACUACAGUGUAUAGUCACUAGUAGCACUUGUGAACCAAAAACUAACCGAAGAAAGAGGGAAAGACACCGGAAAUAUUCUUUUCCAUAUCUAGCAUGUGCUUAUGUAGUCUAAUAUAUCUACCAGAAGCCAUAAUCAAAUGUAUAUAACACCUAUGAAACUUUUGAAUUUCGACCUACAACAGUAGCAGUCUAGGCAACUCUUAAACAACGCAAAGCAUGUUUUAUCAAGGAUCAGGUCACACUUGCAGAAAUAAUCAAAUCAUUGUAUCAUUCAAAGAAAGAAAUAAAGAGUUACGCAAACAAGCAAUAAGCAAGAACCAACAAUCCAAAUGAACAAUAUAUAUCAACCUAGACUUAAAAAAAAAACAUUCAGGAAUGUAAAAUUUUGGCCAGCCACUCAAAUCCAUCAACCAUCAACUAUCUAAAAUAUGCAAUCAAACUAAAACUCUAACCAUUUCUUGUAAUAUUCACAGGUGAUGGGAGAGAUUAUUCCAUCAGGGGUGCAACGACUUAUCUGUGGACAAACUCCACAAGGAACGGAAGCCAAGGCACCAAGCUUGGGUUCUCCUCCAUAACCUCUCUUACCGGC
rnacentral:lncRNA from 1 species